UGUGCCAGUUCCUAUCAGCAAUGAGAAACUUCACGUCCUGGACCUGGUGCUUGCUUCACAGGUCCCGGGCACACCCGUCUUAGCAGCAGGCAGCAAGGUUUCUGCUUUACCAGCUCCUGGACAACUUGGCAAUCUGCAGGUGGGACUGGCCACGGUAAGAAACAGGAAGAGGAGAAUUAACAACAGGGAUCCUCAGCCUGUCACAUAACAACUGAAUAAGAAAAUGACACAGAAAUGGGUCCCUGUAGGCAGCAGGUGCUUCCUCGGGUGCUGCUACCCUCUUUGCAGAGGAAGCACACAAACAGCGAGCAGCAGAUCUGCACUGGGGACACCUGUGUGGUGUGUGCUCUGGAAGUGACAACAGGAUCCAAAUCACCUGCAUGAGGAUCCAACCCACCUGCCACGUCCUGGCAGCUGUGCUCUCCUUCAUUCCAGGCAAACACGCAAGCCUGAGAUGUUGUCUGAAGCCUUGGACUUCAUUUAACAAGUUGGAGUUGAGUUAGCACCUUCGAGCCUCUGGGGCUGUGUCUUGCAUCAGAAAGAACACAGCUCGUUAUCAUUCCUGAACUCUGCUCCUCUCAGCCGCUGCGCUAGGUGAUGCGAGGUGACACGUGGAGGAAAACAGGAUCUCUUCCAGAAUAUGUGAAAAGGCCAUGUGCUUUUCUUUCGCAUUCAAGGUAUUUCAAGCAGAACAUGGUAAACUCUCUUUGCAAUCUUGGACUCCUUACCAGCUGGGUAUGCAAAUACCCCAUUCUCACCUACUUUCUGCUGGACAUGGUUUGCGUAGCUCCAAGUACUCCUUAAGAUUAAGAUGAAACAGAGAUCUGGAAGUCAAGAAUCUCUCCUGCUGCAGAUUUCAUACCUACCCCCAUCAGAGCGAUCUGUUACUCAGAGAGGUAGAUGGUCCUGUGGGAAGUAUACGAUCACAUCAUUAAAGGCUUCAGAAUUAAUAAUCAGAAGCAGGACAGAAGGGAUAUCAGUCAAACAGAAGUUGCACACUCAGGCUUAAUGUUAGUUCUUCCUCAAUUCCCCAGUCACACUAUUCUUACUAGAUUUUGAUAUAAAUGCUGCAACUAGAAAUGGAAUGACAAAUACACCCAGCAGAACUGAUAUCAAUUCACUGCAAAAUAUAUUAGUUGUGGCCAAUAAAGUCAGAUUAUUUUACUGGAUUUACUCUGGAUUUACCCUAGUGUAACCCAGAACAGAAUGUGGUCCUGUGGGUGUAGGAGAAGUUACACUGUAAAGAAAUAAAUCUCAACUAUUUCAAGUUUUAUUAGCUUCUUUUUCUGUCGGGCCUUUCAAUUUUUAUAUUUUUCAUAU